CGUACACUCCUACGGGAGGCAGCAGUGGGGAAUAUUGCACAAUGGGCGCAAGCCUGAUGCAGCCAUGCCGCGUGUAUGAAGAAGGCCUUCGGGUUGUAAAGUACUUUCAGCGGGGAGGAAGGCGAUAAGGUUAAUAACCUUGUCGAUUGACGUUACCCGCAGAAGAAGCACCGGCUAACUCCGUGCCAGCAGCCGCGGUAAUACGGAGGGUGCAAGCGUUAAUCGGAAUUACUGGGCGUAAAGCGCACGCAGGCGGUCUGUCAAGUCGGAUGUGAAAUCCCCGGGCUCAACCUGGGAACUGCAUUCGAAACUGGCAGGCUAGAGUCGUGUAGAGGGGGGUAGAAUUCCAGGUGUAGCGGUGAAAUGCGUAGAGAUCUGGAGGAAUACCGGUGGCGAAGGCGGCCCCCUGGACAAAGACUGACGCUCAGGUGCGAAAGCGUGGGGAGCAAACAGGAUUAGAAACCCUUGUAGUCCCAUGAU
rnacentral:rRNA from 1 species